AUGGUCUACGAGCUUCUCAUCUCUUCCUCUUCCUCUUCCACCCCCCUCUGCGGUUUCAUCCAGAAAAGAUCGAAGCAAAACAUUGGAGUGCUCGCCGCCGGCCGGGGUUUCCAAUCGACGGUGCACGCCAUGCUUGACGACGAUCAGUCCUUCACCGAGGGCAUCUCGAGCCCCAUAGCCGCGCACAUCCUCGACUUCUGCGACGAUGGCGGCGGCGGCGGCGACCUCUUCGGGGCGGUGAACGCUGCGUCCGACGUGUUCGCUGCCUCGUCGGAGGACGCCUCGUCGUCGUUCACCGCCACGCCUCCUCUCUGCAGCCAUGGCGAUAACAUGUCGUCGGGUGCGGCCGCGGCCACGACCACGGCCAGCUUCUCCCCCUUGCCGUCCCUUGACUCCACACUCUCGGCGCUCCUCGAGGAAGACCAGCCGCCUGGCCCAGACGCCGAGCUCCUCCUCCCCAUAGAUUACGCGUUCGCGGCGGCGGCGGCAGGCACGGACGAGACCCAGACGGAGCAGCAACAGUAUGGCCAGAUGGUGCUCCCGGUGGUGACCGCGGCAGAGCACCACCCGGCGCUGCAGACGCAAAUGAGCAGCACGGCGUCCGACCUCAUGCAGCUCACCUCGGGAUACACCAACGAGUGCUUCGCGGCGGCACUGGCCGGAGGGUUCAUGGGGCUGGAGGAGACCCUGUGCCAGCAGCAGCCUGGCGCGAUGCUCCCUGGCGCCGCCGACGCGGCGACGCAAGGGUGUUACGCGGCGCAGGGAGGUUUCUUCGGCGGCGGCGGUUGCACGGGCACCGUGAUGUCGAUGAUGCUGGGGAUGGAGGAGAUGGGCGAGUACCAGAGGAUGAUGGAGGGCGGCGCGCUGGUGGACGCCGACUCCGCGGGGCAGAUGGCAUUCCCUACCGCCGCGGAGAUGCAGAUCGGAGGCAGCGGGAGCCCCGGGCGGCUGCCGGCGGCGGGAGAGACCUCGAGCCUGGAGGACACGAGCUUCAAGGCCGCCCGCCUCUCCGUGGAGGAGAGGAAGGAGAAGAUCCACCGGUACAUCAAGAAGAGGAACGAGCGGAACUUCAGCAAGAAGAUCAAGUACGCGUGCAGGAAAACCUUGGCGGACAGCAGGCCGCGCGUCCGCGGGAGGUUCGCCAAGAACGACGAGUACUGCGAAGCGUCCACGGCGAUCGGAUCACAGAACCACGAGGAGUACGAGCAGAUGCCGGGCGUGAAGGCGGAGGACAUGCUCGACCCCGACGCGCUGGCGCACAUCAGCGGGAUGAGCUCCUACAUGUACAACCACACGGUGGAGUCGUGGAUAUAA
rnacentral:rRNA from 1 species